GCCUCUGUGGCUUAGCGGUAGAGCGUCUGACUUGUAAUCAGACGGCCGUGGGUUCGAUUCCCACCAGGGGCU
rnacentral:tRNA from 1 species